rnacentral:rRNA from 1 species
GGCGAAAGCCUGAUCCAGCCAUGCSGCGUGCAGGAAGACAGCCCUACGGGUUGUAAACUGCUUUUAUACAGGAAGAAUAAGGGGUACGUGUACCCUGGUGACGGUACUGUAAGAAUAAGGACCGGCUAACUCCGUGCCAGCAGCCGCGGUAAUACGGAGGGUCCGAGCGUUAUCCGGAAUCAUUGGGUUUAAAGGGUCCGCAGGCGGGCGAUUAAGUCAGGGGUGAAAUGCUGCAGCUCAACUGUAGCACUGCCCUUGAUACUGGUUGUCUUGAGUCAUAGUGGAGUGGCCGGAAUAUGUGGUGUAGCGGUGAAAUGCAUAGAUAUCACAUAGAACACCGAUCGCGAAGGCAGGUGGCCAACUAUGUACUGACGCUGAUGGACGAAAGCGUGGGGAGCGAACGGGAUUAGAUACCCCGGUAGUCCACGCCGUAAACGAUGGAUACUAGCUGUGGGGCGUAAGCUCCGUGGCCAAGCGAAAGUGAUAAGUAUCCCACCUGGGGAGUACGUKCGCAAGAAUGAAACUCAAAUGAA